ensembl:lncRNA
CCCUAGUAGGUUUUGUAAUUAGAGGGUAGAAAUUUACAGAGUACAGGGUAUUAAGAAAAUCAUGUGUAGCAGUAUAAUCAGCAUGUAAGAUAUUCAAAUUGAAAUCACCGUGUAACAGACAGAGCUUAUGUUCCUUUGAAAUAAUAUCUAAGGUUGAAUCAAGUGCAUCAAUGAAGGUAUUUAUAUCUGAAGCAGGUGGUCUGUAAAUGCAUCCAAUCACAAUGCUUUUCCCUUUAAAUAAAUAACAUGAGGGAAUUUCAACAAAUAAAGAUUCUACUAAUGUUAGGUCGAAGUCAUUACUUAAAUCCUUUCUGAGAAUAUAAUUAAAUGAAUCAGCUACGUACAGAGAGACUCCUCCUCCUCUUUUCAUUUCUCUACAAGAGUGGAUAGCAUUAUAGUGUAAUAGAUUAUAGAGGUGUGAUGUAUCAUUAUGGAGCCAUGUUUCCGUAAAUGCUAUAACUGAGAAGGAGUGCGACAAGCGCGACUUUGUGUUUGUGGUUCACAAAGCGCACAAUGAUGGCAGGAGGCCCAAGGAUCGUAGAAUGACGCUUCUUAGGUAGCAAGUGACAGGCAGAAAAGUUUUCACUCUGAACUUCAAUAUCUUUGCUCACCAAGAAUGAAACAACCUGCUGUUCCAGGGAUUGGGUCUCUAUCUCCAGUGCAUUAGCAUCGAGGACUCCUGCCUCUGGAUCCGCCACCCUCGCAUAGGUACGGUGUUUCGUUUCCAAGCCAGUUAUAAUGAGGUCGUUCAUUCUCGUGUGCUGCUCAAGAUCAUCGAUUCGUUUCUCCAACAUAGCUAUUUUCUCAUCUUUCUUCAUCAGUAACAUCUUAAGCGACUGAAUAUCAGCUGACAAUUUCUCAUUCAAUGCCGUCAAGUUUUCCUGUUUAGUUACGUUUCUCAGCGUUAAGUUGAUCAGUUCCAAUUGUUCCUCCACUCUUUUCAUCUGUGC